CGAGAGAGUUGCAAAACUCCUACACCCCUGUGAACCUACCUCUUUUUCCUUCGGCAGGCGGCCCCAGGGCGGGGUCGUGGUCUGCUACGCGCAGGCGCCUGCCGGAGACCUUCAAACUCUUCUUUUUGGCAGUCUGAGUCUCUUUAAAAAUGAAUCA
rnacentral:misc_RNA from 1 species